GACGAACGCUGGCGGCAUGCUUAACACAUGCAAGUCGAGCGGAGCGGCGAACGGGUGAGUAACGCGUGAGUAACUGCCCCCCUCUCUGGGAUAACAGUUGGAAACGACUGCUAAUAACGGAUAUUGGGGGAUGACUCGCGUCCUAUCAGCUUGUGUGUGGGGUAGUGGCCUACCAAGGCGACGACGGGUAGCCGGCCUGAGAGGGCGACCGGCCACACUGGGCUGAGAUACGGCCCAAACUCCUACGGGAGGCAGCAGUGGGGAAUAUUGCACAAUGGGGGAAACCCUGAUGCAGCAACGCGCGUGCGGGAUGACGGCCUUCGGGUUGUAAAGCACUUUAAGUUGGGAGGCAGUAAGUUAAUACCUUGCUGUUUUGACGUUACCAACAGAAUAAGCACCGGCUAACUUCGUGCCAGCAGCCGCGGUAAUUC
rnacentral:rRNA from 1 species